rnacentral:tmRNA from 1 species
GGGGGCGUCUUGGCUUUCGACGGGGGUAGGAGGUAUUCAGGAAGCGAGUCGUGGAACCUGGGGCCACGUUAAAAAACUGGGAUUAAAUAUAAACGCAAACGAUAAUUUAGCUUUAGCUGCCUAACUAACGGCAGCCGUUCUACCUAUGAGUCCCACGGCAUAGGAUAGGGCGUCGACUAGUGGGGAACGAGCUUAUCUAAGCUUUGCGAUAAGCCUGUAUUCAUGAAGCUACUGAAGUCCAAAUCCUGUCAGUGGGAGUUGGAUGGAGGGAAUGUCAAAACACUGACUGCACUCGGAGAUGCCUGGGUGUCUAUGCCUUCGGACAGGGGUUCAACUCCCCUCGCCUCCACCA